GAUGAACGCUGGCGGCGUGCCUAAUACAUGCAAGUCGAGCGAACGGACGAGAAGCUUGCUUCUCUGAUGUUAGCGGCGGACGGGUGAGUAACACGUGGAUAACCUACCUAUAAGACUGGGAUAACUUCGGGAAACCGUAGCUAAUACCGGAUAAUAUUUUGAACCGCAUGGUUCAAAAGUGAAAGACGGUCUUGCUGUCACUUAUAGAUGGAUCCGCGCUGCAUUAGCUAGUUGGUAAGGUAACGGCUUACCAAGGCAACGAUGCAUAGCCGACCUGAGAGGGUGGUCCGCCACACUGGGACUUGGACACGGUCCAGAACCCUAAGGGAGGCCGGAGUAGGGAAUCCUCCCGAAUGGGCGAAAGCCUGAAGGAGCAAACCCGCGUGAGUGAAGAAGGGUUUCGGAUCGUAAAACUCUGUUAUUAGGGAAGAACAUAUGUGUAAGUAACUGUGCACAUCUUGACGGUACCUAAUCAGAAAGCCACGGCUAACUACGUG
rnacentral:rRNA from 1 species